rnacentral:rRNA from 1 species
AGUGGAUGGGGAGCAACCUAGUUGUGCGUGUGUAAAGGUAGUGCCAAGAAAAGCGAUGAUCAUGUUGAAAAUCAAUUCCCGGUACCCGAAACCGACACAGGUGGGCAAGUAGAGAAUACUAAGGGGCGCGAGGUAACUCUCUCCAAGGAACUCGGCAAAAUGACCCCGUAACUUAGGGAGAAGGGGUGCCACCGAGAGGUGGUCGCAGUGAAGAGGCCCAGGCGACUGUUUAGCAAAAACAUAGGUCUCUGCAAACUCGAAAGAGGAGGUAUAGGGGCUGACGCCUGCCCAGUGCCGGAAGGUUAAAGAAGUUGGUCAGUUUUAGGAUGAAGCUAGCGACUGAAGCCCCGGUGAACGGCGGCCGUAACUAUAACGGUCCUAAGGUAGCGAAAUUCCUUGUCGGGUAAGUUCCGACCCGCGCGAAAGGCGUAACGAUCUGGGCGCUGUCUCGGAGAGAGGCUCGGCGAAAUAGGAUUGUCUGUGAAGAUACGGACUACCUGCAUUUGGACAGAAAGACCCUAUGAAGCUUUACUAUAGCUUGGAAUUGUGUUCGGGCUUCCUGUGCGCAGGAUAGGUGGGAGGCGUAGAAGGUAUUCUUGUGGGGAUACUGGAGCCAACGGUGAGAUACCACUCUCAGGAGGCUAGAAUUCUGACUUAAUUAAGGACAGUUUCAGGUGGGUAGUUUGACUGGGGCGGUCGCCUCCAAAAAGGUAACGGAGGCGUACAAAGGUUCCCUCAGACUGGUUGGAAAUCAGUCGAAGAGUGCAAAGGCAGAAGGGAGCUUGACUGCGAGAAGUACAGUUCGAGCAGGGUGGAAACACGGUCUUAGUGAUCCGACGGUGCUGUGUGGAAGGGCCGUCGCUCAACGGAUAAAAGUUACUCUAGGAUAACAGGCUGAUCUCCCCCAAGAGUUCACAUCGACGGGGAGGUUUGGCACCUCGAUGUCGGCUCAUCGCAACCUGGGGCGGAAGUACGUCCCAAGGGUUGGGCUGUUCGCCCAUUAAAGCGGUACGUGAGCUGGGUUCAGAACGUCGUGAGACAGUUCGGUCCAUAUCCGAUGUAGGCGUGAGAAUAUUGAGAGGAGCCUUCCUUAGUACGAGAGGACCGGGAAGGACGCACCGCUGGUGUACCUGUUAUGAUGCCAAUUGUAAACGCAGGGUAGCCAAGUGCGGAGAGGAUAACCGCUGAAAGCAUCUAAGUGGGAAGCCCACCUCAAGAUGAGUAUUCUGGUGUAAGGUCACGGGAAGACGACCCGUAAAUAGGCACGAGGUGGAAGUGCAGAGAUGUAUGAAGCCGAAGUGUACUAAUAGACCGUCGGCUUG